rnacentral:lncRNA from 1 species
CUUAAAAGCCCACGGGAGUUUCAAAUAAACCACUUUUAGCCACUGGAAUCCAGAGAAGGAACUUCGUGGCUCUUUUCUCCUAGUGAAGGGGGGUCAUGCCACUGAAACUUUCUCUGAGAACCUGCGAGCAAGGAGUCGCUAGCAAUCAGCUCUGUUAAUAAUUUAUAUAUCUUUGAAUCUUUCUUUAGAAAAUAUGGCUUCUUCCUAAUAUACAGAAUAAGCUGGACUCAGAAAACCUUUUUUAUAUCUAAAAUGUCAGAAGAUUAGAGAAGAAAUUCAUCAGUGAAUGUUUCACUCAGUGGCCCCAUCUAAUGAACCUCCUAUAAGGAAGAUGACAUCAGAACAA